rnacentral:rRNA from 1 species
GCGCCUGGCGGCGUGCUUACCAUGCAAGUCGAACGAUGAAGCCCAGCUUGCUGGGUGGAUUAGUGGCGAACGGGUGAGUAACACGUGGGUGAUCUGCCCUGCACUCUGGGAUAAGCCUGGGAAACUGGGUCUAAUACCGGAUAUGACCUCGGGAUGCAUGUUCUGGGGUGGAAAGUUUUUCGGUGCAGGAUGAGCCCGCGGCCUAUCAGCUUGUUGGUGGGGUAAUGGCCUACCAAGGCGACGACGGGUAGCCGGCCUGAGAGGGCGACCGGCCACACUGGGACUGAGACACGGCCCAGACUCCUACGGGAGGCAGCAGUGGGGAAUAUUGCACAAUGGGCGCAAGCCUGAUGCAGCGACGCCGCGUGAGGGAUGACGGCCUUCGGGUUGUAAACCUCUUUCACCCAUGACGAAGCGCAAGUGACGGUAGUGGGAGAAGAAGCACCGGCCAACUACGUGCCAGCAGCCGCGGUAAUACGUAGGGUGCGAGCGUUGUCCGGAAUUACUGGGCGUAAAGAGCUCGUAGGCGGUUUGUCGCGUCGUCUGUGAAAUCCCGCAGCUCAACUGCGGGCUUGCAGGCGAUACGGGCAGACUCGAGUACUGCAGGGGAGACUGGAAUUCCUGGUGUAGCGGUGAAAUGCGCAGAUAUCAGGAGGAACACCGGUGGCGAAGGCGGGUCUCUGGGCAGUAACUGACGCUGAGGAGCGAAAGCGUGGGUAGCGAACAGGAUUAGAUACCCUGGUAGUCCACGCCGUAAACGGUGGCGCUAGGGGUGUUGGGUUUCCUUCCACGGGAUCCGUGCCGUAGCCAACGCAUUAAGCGCCCCGCCUGGGGGAGUACGGCCGCAAGGCUAAAACUCAAGGAAUUUGACGGGGGCCCGCACAAGCGGCGGAGCAUGGUGGAUUAAUUCGAUGCAACGCGAGACCUUACCUGGGUUUGACAUGUACCGGACGACUGCAAGAAGAUGUGGUUUCCCUUGUGCCGGUAGACAGGUGCUGCAUGGCU